AUAUUGAUGACAGUAUGUCUAUUUAUGAAUAAAAGACAAAAAUGCUUCCCAACAGUAGCCGACGGCCAAUCCAGCUAUGGAAAUGUUCCAAAUGGUGAAUUUUUCUUUUCAACUUCACUGCAGUAUAUUUUCAUUAAGUGUUCAGGCCUAAUACCAUUCAUAUUUUUAAAUAUAAAAAAUCGUGUACAUCUGACAAUUACCUAAUGAGCUCAUUAUUAUGUUUCCCAUUAUGACUCAACUUGUAGUUGAUACUUUUGAGCCUACAUACGUGUAAGUAAAAAAUCUACGAAUAGCAGUUUUGGUAAAUAAUGUUGCCUGUGUUUACUUAGUGAUACCAUUUGACUGAAUUUAUUUCACCUCCCAUUGGAUAAUACAUAGAUUUCACUCUAUGACCACAUGUAUUAUGUUAUGUGUUAUGUUGAGCUCAGACCUUUCUUCCACAGAGAUCCGAUUCCAGGUAGUUUGCCAUUAUAUGGAAAUCUCCCAGACAUGGACCAGGUCUCCUAUGAAAACGUCUUUCCUACACCAUCCAUCGAACAUGAUUCUAAUGGAUCAGAUUAUGAAAAUUCUGACUUCUUGAGGAAAAAUGCUGACGGUUAGUUUCUUCAUCAACGUGGUUUAAAAUUUUUUUUACAUAUAUUUUAUUUUACUCUUAGAACAUUAUCGUAUACCAUUCUGACAUGAACUGUUUUUUCACCCAUAGAUCCAGAUUAUGUCAACCAAGAAGAAACCUGACCUUGCACUUUUGAAAACUACACUGUGAAACAUUUGACCUUUCAAAGCAGAAGCAGCACAGUGUUUGUUCCAGACAGGGCUCUUCUGCUGAAGCACUGCCACACACACACACACACACACACACACACACACACACACACACAAACACACCUACACACACACACACACAGACACACAAACACACCUACAAACACACACAGACACACGCACACAAACCUCACAACACAAACAAACACACAGACACACACACACGCACACCUCACAACACAAACAAACACACACACACACGCACACACACACACACACACACACACAGAAGAGAACCUUGUGUUCCAUUAAACUUAUCCGAUUAUCUCUUUUUUUUUAAAGUCUGUGUUAUUAUUGUCUCAUUUUAAGUUUUUUGUCAUUGUCUCAUUUUAAAAUGUUAAACUCUAACCUUAAAUUAAAGAAAAAAAUACACAUAUUCUUUCUUGUCUUUCCAAUGGAAAUAGCAUUUUCAACACUUUCAAACACUUUUAAUUCCAGUCC
rnacentral:lncRNA from 1 species